rnacentral:rRNA from 1 species
AUUGGUUUUAUUUUUUAUUUAAUGCAAGAAUAUAAGUAUAGUACCUUUUGUAUCAGGGUUAUUUAAUUAAGCAAGUAAUUAUGUUUCUCGAUAUUAAUUAAGUUAAAUAAAUUACUAUAUGUUGAAAGAUUAUGUGUAUUUAUUUAGUAGUGAAAAUUUUUCGUAAUUAAAGGUAUCUAGUUACCAGGUAAUUAUUAAAAGGGAUAAGCUUUUUAUCACGGUAUAUUUUGAAGGCUAUGUAGUAAAUUAGGCUUAAGAUUAGCCGUAUUAAUAAGUUGUUUAAAAUUUUUUAUGGGUCUUAGUGAAGUAAAUUGUUUUUUAUAGGUAACUUAUUGUUAUAAUGAAAUUAUAUUUAUAAUGAAUAAAUUAGUAUUUUUUUUUUGUUGUUAGAUAUAACUCGAGUGUUGUAGAAUAGUUUAUCAAAAACAUUUUUUUACUGGUGUAAAAUAAGGCCUGCCCAGUGUGAGAUAAACGGCUGCGGUAUUUUGACUGUGCUAAGGUAGCAUAAUAAUUUGUUUUUUAAUUGAAAACUGGGAUGAAAGGUUUUAUCUAUAAUAAGUUUUAUUUGCAGUAAAAAUAAUUUAUAUUUUCGGUAAAAAUACCGUAAUUAGAUAAAGUGACGAUAAGACCCUAUAAGCUUUAUUUAUUGGGCAAGAAAACUAAGGAUUUAGUGUUUUUUUGUUUUGUUAAUUUUACUGGGGCAGUAAUAUUAUUUGAUUUAAUAUAUUUAUAUGACAUGGUUGAAUGAGUGUAUGAUCUUUUUAUAAAGAUAAUUAGCGUAAGUUACUGUAGGGAUAACAGCGUAAUAAUUUCAGAAAGGUCUUAUUGAUGAGAUUGAUUGCGACCUCGAUGUUGAAUUAAAAUUUCUUUUUGUUGCAGAAGGCAGAGGAGAAGGUUUGUUCAACCUUUAAAUUUUUACAUGAUUUGAGUUCAAAUCGGUUUAAGCCAGAUUGGUUUCUAUCUUUUAUGAGAUAAAUUUUGUGUAAGUACGAAAGGGACACAUAAAGUUU